ACUACGGUGCUGAAGCGACAAAUGCCCUGCUUCCAGGAAAAGCCUCUAAGCAUCAGGUAACAUUAAAUCGUACCCCAAACCGACACAGGUGGUCAGGUAGAGAAUACCAAGGCGCUUGAGAGAACUCGGGUGAAGGAACUAGGCAAAAUGGUGCCGUAACUUCGGGAGAAGGCACGCUGAUAUGUAGGUGAAGCGACUUGCUCGUGGAGCUGAAAUCAGUCGAAGAUACCAGCUGGCUGCAACUGUUUAUUAAAAACACAGCACUGUGCAAACACGAAAGUGGACGUAUACGGUGUGACGCCUGCCCGGUGCCGGAAGGUUAAUUGAUGGGGUUAGCGGUAACGCGAAGCUCUUGAUCGAAGCCCCGGUAAACGGCGGCCGUAACUAUAACGGUCCUAAGGUAGCGAAAUUCCUUGUCGGGUAAGUUCCGACCUGCACGAAUGGCGUAAUGAUGGCCAGGCUGUCUCCACCCGAGACUCAGUGAAAUUGAACUCGCUGUGAAGAUGCAGUGUACCCGCGGCAAGACGGAAAGACCCCGUGAACCUUUACUAUAGCUUGACACUGAACAUUGAGCCUUGAUGUGUAGGAUAGGUGGGAGGCUUUGAAGUGUGGACGCCAGUCUGCAUGGAGCCGACCUUGAAAUACCACCCUUUAAUGUUUGAUGUUCUAACGUGGGCCCCUUACCGGGGUUGCGGACAGUGUCUGGUGGGUAGUUUGACUGGGGCGGUCUCCUCCUAAAGAGUAACGGAGGAGCACGAAGGUUGGCUAAUCCUGGUCGGACAUCAGGAGGUUAGUGCAAUGGCAUAAGCCAGCUUGACUGCGAGCGUGACGGCGCGAGCAGGUGCGAAAGCAGGUCAUAGUGAUCCGGUGGUUCUGAAUGGAAGGGCCAUCGCUCAACGGAUAAAAGGUACUCCGGGGAUAACAGGCUGAUACCGCCCAAGAGUUCAUAUCGACGGCGGUGUUUGGCACCUCGAUGUCGGCUCAUCACAUCCUGGGGCUGAAGUAGGUCCCAAGGGUAUGGCUGUUCGCCAUUUAAAGUGGUACGCGAGCUGGGUUUAGAACGUCGUGAGACAGUUCGGUCCCUAUCUGCCGUGGGCGCUGGAGAACUGAGGGGGGCUGCUCCUAGUACGAGAGGACCGGAGUGGACGCAUCACUGGUGUUCGGGUUGUCAUGCCAAUGGCACUGCCCGGUAGCUAAAUGCGGAAGAGAUAAGUGCUGAAAGCAUCUAAGCACGAAACUUGCCCCGAGAUGAGUUCUCCCUGACUCCUUGAGAGUCCUGAAGGAACGUUGAAGACGACGACGUUGAUAGGCCGGGUGUGUAAGCGCAGCGAUGCGUUGAGCUAACCGGUACUAAUGAACCGUGAGGCUUAACCUU
rnacentral:rRNA from 1 species